rnacentral:rRNA from 1 species
ACAAACACCGAUAGCAUGUUGAAUACACCAGUUCCUCAUGGAUCACUGAUGUUAAGCAACGACGCGCUUGGUUGGUAUCCGGAUGGGUGACUAUCAACAUCUCGGCAAUCGCGUGCU